rnacentral:rRNA from 1 species
AGAAUUUGAUCCUGGCUCAGGACGAACGCUGGCGGCGUGCUUAACACAUGCAAGUCGAACGGAAAGGCCCUUCGGGGUACUCGAGUGGCGAACGGGUGAGUAACACGUGGGUGAUCUGCCCUGCACUCUGGGAUAAGCCUGGGAAACUGGGUCUAAUACCGGAUAGGACCGCAUGCUUCAUGGUGUGUGGUGCAAAGCUUUUGCGGUGUGGGAUGAGCCCGCGGCCUAUCAGCUUGUUGGUGGGGUAAUGGCCUACCAAGGCGACGACGGGUAGCCGGCCUGAGAGGGUGACCGGCCACACUGGGACUGAGAUACGGCCCAGACUCCUACGGGAGGCAGCAGUGGGGAAUAUUGCACAAUGGGCGCAAGCCUGAUGCAGCGACGCCGCGUGAGGGAUGACGGCCUUCGGGUUGUAAACCUCUUUCAGUAGGGACGAAGCGAAAGUGACGGUACCUACAGAAGAAGGACCGGCCAACUACGUGCCAGCAGCCGCGGUAAUACGUAGGGUCCGAGCGUUGUCCGGAAUUACUGGGCGUAAAGAGCUCGUAGGUGGUUUGUCGCGUUGUUCGUGAAAACUCACAGCUUAACUGUGGGCGUGCGGGCGAUACGGGCAGACUAGAGUACUGCAGGGGAGACUGGAAUUCCUGGUGUAGCGGUGGAAUGCGCAGAUAUCAGGAGGAACACCGGUGGCGAAGGCGGGUCUCUGGGCAGUAACUGACGCUGAGGAGCGAAAGCGUGGGUAGCGAACAGGAUUAGAUACCCUGGUAGUC